rnacentral:misc_RNA from 1 species
CCGAGUUAGGGUCUUAUAGGCCCGACCUCCAACCCUUUGUUUACUAUACCAUGUUGCUUUGGCAAGCCCGCCUUUCGGGGCCACUGGGGGCUUUCAUACCCUUAGUCAGUGCCUGCCAGUAGCCUUAUUAAAUUCUUUUAUAAUUAUGUUGUCUGAGUAUAAAUUUAAAUCGUUUA